GACGAACGCUGGCGGCGUGCUUAACACAUGCAAGUCGAACGGAAAGGCCCUACUUUUGUGGGGUGCUCGAGUGGCGAACGGGUGAGUAACACGUGAGUAACCUGCCCUUGACUUUGGGAUAACUUCAGGAAACUGGGGCUAAUACCGGAUAGGAGCUCCUGCUGCAUGGUGGGGGUUGGAAAGUUUCGGCGGUUGGGGAUGGACUCGCGGCUUAUCAGCUUGUUGGUGGGGUAGUGGCUUACCAAGGCUUUGACGGGUAGCCGGCCUGAGAGGGUGACCGGCCACAUUGGGACUGAGAUACGGCCCAGACUCCUACGGGAGGCAGCAGUGGGGAAUAUUGCACAAUGGGCGGAAGCCUGAUGCAGCAACGCCGCAUGCGGGAUGACGGCCUUCGGGUUGUAAACCGCUUUCGCCUGUGACGAAGCGUGAGUGACGGUAAUGGGUAAAGAAGCACCGGCUAACUACGUG
rnacentral:rRNA from 1 species